GCUGAUCAGAUGGAAUGGGUUGGGACUUUAUCUUGAGAGCAGAAAUGUGAAUUGUUGGUAACACAAUCGCUUAAAAGACCCCCAGGAUUUCACUCCCUCAGAAAAAUUAAUGCCAGGCCUCUCUCUGAGAUGACCUAACUCCCAGUCUACUGACACUAUUGAAGACAUUAGAAAUGUGAGAGCAAUUUCAUCAGCAACAAGGCAGUGGUCAGCUGCAGAAAGAAGGAUCAUUCACUUCUCCACAUAAGCAGCAGCAAAACCUGGCCUAAAACAUCCACUGAAGAUUUUUUUUAA